rnacentral:rRNA from 1 species
UACGGAGGGUGCAAGCGUUAUCCGGAUUCACUGGGUUUAAAGGGUGCGUAGGUGGGAAUGUAAGUCAGUGGUGAAAUCUCUGAGCUUAACUCAGAAACUGCCAUUGAUACUAUGUUUCUUGAAUUUUCUGGAGGUCAGCGGAAUAUGUCAUGUAGCGGUGAAAUGCUUAGAGAUGACAUAGAACACCUAUUGCGAAGGCAGCUUACUACGCAGAGAUUGACGCUCAUGCACGAAAGCGUGGGGAUCAAACAGGA